AGAUUGAACGCUGGCGGCAUGCCUUACACAUGCAAGUCGAACGGCAGCACGGGAGCAAUCCUGGUGGCGAGUGGCGAACGGGUGAGUAAUACAUCGGAACGUGCCCAAUCGUGGGGGAUAACGCAGCGAAAGCUGUGCUAAUACCGCAUACGAUCUACGGAUGAAAGCAGGGGACCGCAAGGCCUUGCGCGAAUGGAGCGGCCGAUGGCAGAUUAGGUAGUUGGUGAGGUAAAGGCUCACCAAGCCUUCGAUCUGUAGCUGGUCUGAGAGGACGACCAGCCACACUGGGACUGAGACACGGUCCAGACUCCUACGGGAGGCAGCAGUGGGGAAUCUUGCACAAUGGACGAAAGUCUGAUGCAGCAACGCCGCGUGGGGAUGAAGCUUUUCGGAGUGUAACCCCUUUCGACCCGGAAGAACGCCCGCAAGGUUGACGGUACGGUAUAAGAAGCCCGGCUAACUACGUGCCAGCAGCCGCGGUAAUC
rnacentral:rRNA from 1 species